GUUGAAACACUGGUUCUCAUACGACCAUCGAAGUUAAGCAUCGUCGAUCCUGGUCAGUACCAAAAUGAGUGACCGCUUGGAAAUGUCAGGUGCUGUAA